AUGGACUUAAGGCAGAAAUCGAGCUCAGGCACAACACAUAUAAUGCCAAAAUAUCUUUUUGCUACCAGCAUGGGCUUCAAAAAGAAAAACAAAUGGGCCCAAGGGGAAGGUGCGGUUCGGUCCCCCACCAUAGCAUCACAUGGCAGCACAAGGUUGUCUGAACUCAAGGCAAAUUAUUGUAUGUUCCAAGCUCGCCAAAUAUUCGUAUAUGGAAUUGAUGGACUGACAUUGCAGGUUGAAACAUGGCUUGGAGCUGAAGAAGUAGCUUUUAAUAUGGAAUCAAGCAUAAAUGAAGACUUUUAG